rnacentral:rRNA from 1 species
AACGAACGCUGGCGGCAUGCCUAACACAUGCGAGUCGAACGAGACCUUCGGGUCUAGUGGCGCACGGGUACGUAACGCGUGGGAACCUGCCCUUAGGUUCGGAAUAACUCCCCGAAAGGGGUGCUAAUACCGGAUAAUGUCUUCGGACCAAAGAUUUAUCGCCUUUGGAUGGGCCCGCGUUGGAUUAGCUAGUUGGUAGGGUAAAAGCCUACCAAGGCGACGAUCCAUAGCUGGUCUGAGAGGAUGAUCAGCCACACUGGGACUGAGACACGGCCCAGACUCCUACGGGAGGCAGCAGUGGGGAAUAUUGGACAAUGGGCGAAAGCCUGAUCCAGCAAUGCCGCGUGAGUGAUGAAGGCCUUAGGGUUGUAAAGCUCUUUUACCCGGGAUGAUAAUGACAGUACCGGGAGAAUAAGCUCCGGCUAACUCCGUG